AGCUGAUCAUUGGGUGUAAAGGGUGCGCAGGCGGUUUUGUAAGACAGAGGUGAAAUCCCCGGGCUCAACCUGGGAACUGCCUUUGUGACUGCAAGGCUGGAGUGCGGCAGAGGGGGAUGGAAUUCCGCGUGUAGCGGUGAAAUGCGUAGAUAUGCGGAGGAACACCGAUGGCGAAGGCAAUCCCCUGGGCCUGCACUGACGCUCAUGCACGAAAGCGUGGGGAGCAAACA
rnacentral:rRNA from 1 species